UAUAGCCAUACAAUCCUGAACACACCCAAUCUCAUCUGAUCUCAGAAGCUAAGCGGAGUCAGGCCUGGUUAGUACUUGGGUGGGAAAGCUUAUAAUAGCAAUAA
rnacentral:rRNA from 1 species